rnacentral:rRNA from 1 species
AGUGAACGCUGGCGGUAGGCCUAACACAUGCAAGUCGAACGGCAGCACAGUAAGAGCUUGCUCUUACGGGUGGCGAGUGGCGGACGGGUGAGGAAUACAUCGGAAUCUACUUUUUCGUGGGGGAUAACGUAGGGAAACUUACGCUAAUACCGCAUACGACCUACGGGUGAAAGCAGGGGAUCUUCGGACCUUGCGCGAUUGAAUGAGCCGAUGUCGGAGUAGCUAGUUGGCGGGGUAAAGGCCCACCAAGGCGACGAUCCGUAGCUGGUCUGAGAGGAUGAUCGGCCACACUGGAACGGGGACACGGUCCAGACUCCUACGGGAGGCAGCAGUGGGGAAUAUUAGACAAUGGGCGCAAGCCUGAUCCAGCCAUACCGCGUGUGUGAAGAAGGCCUUCGGGUUGUGAAGCCCUUUUGUUGGGAAAGAAAAGCAGCAGGUUAAUACCCCGCUGUUCUGACGGUACCCAAAGAAUAAGCACCGGCUAACUUCGUG